rnacentral:rRNA from 1 species
UACGUAGGGUGCAAGCGUUAUCCGGAAUUAUUGGGCGUAAAGAGCUCGUAGGCGGUUUGUCGCGUCUGCUGUGAAAACCCGAGGCUCAACCUCGGGCCUGCAGUGGGUACGGGCAGACUAGAGUGCGGUGGGGGAGAUUGGAAUUCCUGGUGUAGCGGUGGAAUGCGCAGAUAUCAGGAGGAACACCGAUGGCGAAGGCAGAUCUCUGGGCCGUAACUGACGCUGAGGAGCGAAAGCGUGGGGAGCGAACAGG